CAUCCCAGAGCCCCAAGCAGGAGGAGAAAAGCCAGACUCCAUGAAAACAGAAGGCUAGUUGGGAUGGCAGUCAGACUAAGUGGCCUGACUCCGUUGGUGUUUAAGUGGAGCUCUGGUAUUCUAGUGCAUUCUUUUACCUCUGCUUCUGUUGCGUUGCAAGCUGUGCUAGAGAAGACGUAGGAAAUUCAUUUUACCCAAUCAGCAAUUGUAACAAUGGACUACAAACCUGCAGAGCAAGCCAGUUUGCUGGAAAACAGGAAUUCCUGCAGCGCAGCACUUGUCACAGACUAUCCAAAGAGGGCAAAGAUUCAGGAAGGUGAAUAAAUUGAACAUUGAUUGAAUGAGGUCAGGAACAGUCUCCCGGAGGAGAACCCUGCCCUAAAAUACUACUUUGAAAGUAUAAGCCAAUUUAAUGCGCAGAUUAACCCUUCUCAUUUGAGCAAACUUGUGUGCAAUCCUGGAUCUUUGCAGAUCACAACCGGACACUUCAAAAACCUAUGUACUAUAUUUGUUUAAAAAAAAAAAUAAAUCAUAACUUGUCUUGUUACAGCUGUUACUUUUACCAUUUCAUUGAGAAUAUCUGCAACAUAAAUGUAUAUUUGACUUGAAACAGUAUCAUACACUUGGUAUAAUAACUCAGGUUGUCAACAGAAUUAUUCUGUGAGGCUCAAUAUUGCCUCUCCAUUCUUCUCUGAAAAAUGCAUUAACCAUCGCUGUCAUUGCCAGAAAUCAGUUAUAGCCCAAUUGUGCAUUACAAAAUUCUUGACCAAAUAUAAUAAUUGACCUAAAUUAUUAUCCUAUUUUUAUCCUUAUAGAAUAUUUAAGAUCCUGAGCAUCAGACUAGACGUUUGUAGUCUGGUGUUCAUGAAAAUCACAUUGACUUGUUCACGGUUUAAUCAUUCUACAUCUCAGUAUUUUGUUUUCUUUUCCUUUUCCCUUGCAUACGAGGGAGUAUGAUCAAGGUAAUACUAUGAUCCAGUAAUGCGCAUGAUGGUAAGGGUAUGCCUUUAGUUGUUUCAGGAAAAAGCUGCCAUUAUCUGCUCUCCUUUACCCUUCUUGAUAGUUUCAAUAACAUGCAUAACAUGAAGUGUUUGUAAAUUGAUACUAAACUGUUUGUGACCUCACCUAAAUAAAUUUUUAUA